CAAGAAACUUCGUUUAGGAAAAGAGAGAAAAAGAAUUUAGAAAAAGAAAAAACCUUUCCCACCGCAGCCACAAAAAAUCACCACCACAAAAGCAGCAAACCCUAAUCUUAAUUUUCCCUUCUCUGAACAAACAAAAAACCGAAAAAAAAAAUGUCACACUUCGGCCGGUCAGGACCUCCAGAUAUCACCGACACCUACUCUCUUCUCGUCCUCAACAUCACCUUCCGUACUACUGCUGAUGAUCUGUUUCCACUUUUCGAUAAGUACGGAAAGGUCGUCGAUAUCUUUAUCCCUAGAGAUCGAAGAACUGGUGACUCGCGGGGUUUUGCAUUUGUGCGCUAUAAGUAUGCCGAUGAGGCGCAAAAGGCAGUGGAGAGGCUAGAUGGAAGAGUUGUUGAUGGGCGUGAGAUUACAGUUCAGUUUGCUAAAUAUGGACCCAAUGCUGAGAGAAUUCAUAAAGGAAGGAUCAUUGAACCUGUUCCAAGAUCAAGAAACAGGUCAAGGAGUCGCAGUCCUCGGAGAAGAUACCGGGAUGACUACAAAGAUAGAGAUUAUAGGAAGAGAAGUCGCAGUAAAAGCUUGGACAGGCAUGAACGUGAUAAAUAUCGUGGAAGGGAGAGAGAUUAUCGCCGACAAAGCAGGAGUCGCAGUGCAAGUCCAGAUUACUCUAGAGGCCGUGGCAGAGGCCGUUAUGAUGAUGAGAGGAGGAGCAGCAGUCGGUCAAUGGGAAGUGCCUCUCCUGCUAGGCGUAGCCCAAGUCCUAGGAGGAGUAGAUCUCCACUCAAGAAUUCUCCUCCAAAGGGAGCAAGCCCUGAUAGACGCAGUCGUGACGGUCGGUCUCCAACUCCACGAAGUGCUUCGCCUCAUGGUCGGGCUCCUGCAUCUCGUAGCCCAUCUCCACGUAAUUCAGAUGUUGAUGAAUGAACAUACAGGCUUAAUGGGAAAGUUAUGGAGUGCAUUGUUAUGGUCCUGCUACUAAUGUUGAGGAUGUUCUGGUCAGGAUUUAAUGUGCUAGUUUUGGUAGGGUAGAUUUAUUUUGGUGGUUAAAUAUUUUUAUAUUGAACGUUAUGCAUUCCCUUACUUGACUUGGUCUUUUGCUAUGUUUGAACUUUGUAGUCUGUUCUGCUAUUCAUAGAAGACUUUUGAGUUUUAUGUUCCGGAAAGGUUGCUGUGGGGGCAGAUUUCCAGGAUGUUGAUGUUGUGGCUGUUGAUGCUGUUUGUAAAACGUAGAUGGAUGAUCGUGAUUGUGAUGAUUUCUCUUAAUUUUCUGAUGUUGAUAAGAAAUGAAGUCAAAAGUUUGGCUUGUGAAUCACCUUGUGUCAUUCGGGCAUCUGAUGUGCACCUGAUUUUCUUCUGAUAUUGUACUUUGAGAAUAUGUUCCUGAAUUGAGGUUAGUUGCUUUAGAAGGUGGGCACAAGAUGAACGUGUUUUGCCUAUUACUGAUGCUGCCCAUGAAGUGGACCUGUUAGUCAGUACUUCUCAGAUUGUAACUGACUAUCAAACAUAAUAUGCUGCUCUGAAUAUCACAGCUGCAGUAAUUGGACAUGUGAGUAGCAUACGAGUCCGUGACUGUAGCUGUGCAGUGGUAGCUGAUUUCUGUUCUGUUGUAUGAUAUUCAUGGUUGAUCAGUAAAUGCAAGUGCUAGUGAAUAACCACCUGUAGCGGGCUGUUGCUGCCCUUGUUGAUGGGAUUGGGUCAGCAAUGAUACUAGCAGUUUUGAUAUUGAUGAUGGCUGCCUAACUGUGUUGCUGGCUUGGGGUCAGUUCCAAAAGAUCUGCUUUGACUUGUAAGCUGGUUCAUGUCUUGUGCAGAUAAUAUGGCUUCCGUACUCGUUACGUAACUUAUCCUGAAAUUUUGUUUUCCUAUAUGCUGAAACUGUUUAUCAUGCCUUUUAUCAGAUGAUUGUUCUUGUUCAUGUAAAUUCUCUGGCAGAGGUCACCUGAGACUUCAUUUUAAUUCCAUUUGUCAAUAUACAAGCUUGAGCUACUUACAUGAGAUCAGCAUUGAGAGUAGCAUGAGUCCGUGACUGUAGCUGUGCAGUGGUUGCUGAUGUCUGUUCUGUUGUAUGAUAAUCAUGGUUCGUCAGUGGUAAUGAAUAACCACCUGUAGCGGGCUGUUGCUGCCCUUUGGUGAUGGGAGCGGGCCAGCAAUGGUACUAGCAGUUUUGAUAUUGAUGACGGCUGCCUAGCUGUGUUGCUGGCUUGGGGUCGGUUCCAAAUACACCGGCAAAGGUCACCUGUGAAUUCGUUUUAAUUCCAGUUGUCAAAAUAGGAGACUUGAGCUACUUGCAUUAGACCAGCACCAGUACAGAUUCUUAAUGGCUCCCAUUUUGCUUAAAUGUUUUAUUGCUUUUAUGCUGCAACAUUUGUUUUCUCUAGUCACCUCGCAGCCUGUUUUUCUCACUAUUCAUGUAUCAAGUUCCUCAAUGUUGUCUAAUUCAGCAUUGAUCAAAUCCACAAAUUGUUGUGAUGUGGUUUUAGCUGUCCGUUCAUGUUCUUUCUUCUUAGCUUCUAAUGGUGGGCUUGAUUUGCUCAUGUUCAUGGUGACGUUCAAGUGUGGGUGCUGUCAUGGCAAAAGAAAGCAGAGGGAGAGAGAAGAGAAAAUUCUUUCUAAUCUAGUCUAGGCAAUAAAAUUCCGGCUGGUACAAAAGAAAAGACUCGUCAAUAUGUUGGACGGAUCACGUUUUAUUGUACAUUUGUUAGGAAAAGGAAGACUGGUAAAUAUGUUAGAUGGGUCACGUUUUGUUGUAUAUUUGUCAAGAAAUGAGGGCUACAGUUGACCUGAACACGGCUCAAUUGCAAGAGCAGAGAUGACAAGUUCAUGAAACCAGCCAGAAGGAACAUUUUGGGAAUUUAAUAUUAUGCCCAAUUUCAUCGA